rfam:Macaca mulatta chromosome 14, whole genome shotgun sequence.
GGCUGGCUACUCCAGUACCACACUGGUACCUCCAGAAGCUACGAGCCUAGACUAAGUAAAUGACUUUCUCAGUAGAGUAGGGUCAUGUUUCCAGCAAGGGUAAAUGAAGAACUGGGCUUGUCUACAAGAGCCUCCAAAAAUAAAAACUGCAGCUGAAGCAUCUUAGAGAGAGGGGACAAGGAUAAUGUGGAAUUGGACCCAGAUCAAGAACAGUGGCCCCACUGGUUCU